rnacentral:rRNA from 1 species
ACGAACGCUGCCGCCUUGCCUACCCCUUGCAGGUUAACCACCAAACCAGGGUUUGCCCUGGGCCAAACAAGCGACCGGUUGAGUAACCCUUGGUUACCCUCCCCCGAUAACCGGACCAACCCGAGUAAACUCGGGCUAAUCCCGGUUGUUCUCCCUGGCCUCCGUUUCAUUGGUUAAAGAAAGCUUCGGCCUCCUUACCGGGCGGGGCCCGCGCCCCAUUAGUUGUUUGGUGAGGUAACGGCUCACCAAGACCGCGAUGGGUAGCUGGUCUGAGAGGACGAUCAGCCACACUGGGACUGAGACACGGCCCAGACUCCUACGGGAGGCAGCAGUGGGGAAUCUUGCGCAAUGCGCGAAAGCGUGACGCAGCAACGCCGCGUGGGGGAAGAAGGCCUUCGGGUUGUAAACCCCUUUCAGGAGGGACGAAGGUUCGGCGGUGAAUAGCCGUCCGGACUGACGGUACCUCCACAAGAAGCCCCGGCUAACUACGUG